GGCUGGGUAGCUCAGUUAGUUAGAGCAUUGUUCUGAUACACCAAGGUUUCAGUUUUGAUCCCCAGUCA
rnacentral:tRNA from 1 species